rnacentral:misc_RNA from 1 species
UACGUAGGGUGCAAGCGUUGUUCGGAUUUACUGGGUUUAAAGGGUACGUAGGCGGAUGACUAAGUCCGGGGUGAAAGCCCACCGCUCAACGGUGGAAUUGCCUUGGAUACUGGUGGUCUUGAGUGCCGUAGAAGUAGGCGGAAUUCAUGGUGUAGCGGUGAAAUGCAUAGAUACCAUGAGGAACACCGAUAGGGAAGCCAGCUUACUGGACGGUGACUGACGCUGAGGUACGAAAGCGUGGGGAGCGAACAGG